AGCGAAAACUCGGAGUGGGUCGCUUGCAGUAGGAGCUCGGAGUCCGGCUCCCAUAGGAGUCCGGAUGAAGUCUUCCUGAAGUCGAAGUCGGAGAUGAAGUUUGGCUCCCGUAGGAGUCCGGAUGAAGUCUUCCUACAGCCAGAGUCGGGGAUGAGGUCCGGCUCCCGUAGGAGUCCGGGCAAAGUCUACCUGCAAUUAAAGUCGGAGGCGAAGUCCGGCUCCCGUAGGAGUCCGGACGAGGUUUCCCCAUGGUCGG
rnacentral:lncRNA from 1 species